CAUGACUCGCAAAGAGAAGGGAAGAUGGAACUGCCAUUUUGCACGUGUCAAGUUUCAGGUCUUGACGUUGGGAAGUAAAAGAUCAGAGUGCUGGCAGAUUUUGGUGUCUAGUAAAGGACGGCUUUCUAGUGUAUAGAUAACACCUUCUAUCCAUGUCCUCACAUGGUGAAAAAGUGACUGUAAGUUUCCUGAGGCCUCCCCAGAAGCAGAAGCCUGUAUACUCGGCAGAAGUGAGGUGGCUGGCAAGAUGGCUAAAGAUGAACAGCUCCAGUCUGCAGCUCCCAGUGAGAUCAAUGCAGAAGAAUUUCAGGACAGUUUUGUCUUACGUGGGAACAGGGAGCAAAAGAAGGUACUUCAAUAGGAUGUUGGAAAAGAAGACUUCCACUCUAAUAGGAUGAAAAAAUGAUCAUUUAUUUACAUCAUUCUGAUUUCUUUUAAUUGCUUCACAAUCCACUAUAAAGAAGAUUCGCUCUGACCCUAAAUUUUCUACUUUUUUUCCCACUUUUCUCUCACAUAAAUUAGGUGUUUCAUUCUUUUUCCUCCUUAUUAUUUUAUUUACACCAUUCUGUGUUGAGCACAGAAAGGUGGAAGUAUAUAGCCCUGUUCUCUGUUUUUAAUGCUCUGUAUAUUUUUGUUUCCUUUUCUGUGGAAUCAGUUUUUCAUUAUCCUUAUAGAAUCAGUUUUUCAUUAUCCUUAUAAGGAGAUGCCAUUUUUCUCAAUCUUUCCUUAAAAUCUAACUAACUUCUUUACUAAGUCAUUUCUGUUCCUUAUAGAAUAGUGAAUGUGACUGUUCUUAGUGUAUUGACUGGUCCCUUUACAUCAGCAUUGUAACUUUUAGGUAUUAGUUUACUUUCAUAUGAUUGUUAUUUCAUAUAUCAUUGUGAACAUAUUUUUUUCCAAAAAUAAAAUACAUAUUGACCUAAAAGAAAUUGCAUCUAAAAGAAAA
rnacentral:lncRNA from 1 species